rnacentral:misc_RNA from 1 species
UCGUAAGCGAGCCUGAAGCG